CUCCCAGGAGACUUUGCUGUAUAAUUGUGAGCUAAGCUUGAGUCAGAAUGAAUAAAUCUCUAAGUACGGGGUUUAGUCACAUCUGUGGGCCGAAAUGUAUUGGCUGAGGAAGAAAGAAGUAAAACAGCACCUUCAGAAUCCCAGACACCAUUCUAAGCCCAAGAUUAAGAUUUGGGGUGCAGCCAACCCUAUCUCUAACUAGAAAUGGGUCCCUCAGCAAGUCCCCUCCCUUCUUCAGUCCAGGUGCCCAUGAGAAAGCUGUGACGGGUGAACCCAAGUGCCUCGGGGCCCUGCCGUACUGUGAUUCCGGAGGUCGGGCAUGUGCACACAAGAGUAGACUGCAGCAUCUGGGCUGAGGGGGCAGCACUCCUGGGGACCUGAUUUCCAGGGGGCGGCCAGGCCAGCAGGAGCACCACCCGUGACAGCUGGCAGCCAAGGCACCCACGCUCUUCAACCCGGAGGCUCUCCCUGACCAGGAAGGGCCUGGGAGAAGUAAGCCUCUUUCUUGGUCUGCUACAGACAUUUAUGCUAAUGGUGCUUCUCUUCCGGGCCUAGCUUUCACCUCCUCUGACAGGUAAUGAACUCCCCAAGUCCAAUUACAGGCCACCUCUUCCAUCCUUCUUUUCUCAAGGAAAAAAAAAAUUGAAAAUAAAAAGUCCAAACACAGAAGGCCCACAGCCAGGCCCUGCAUGUCAGGCCAGUGACAGGCAGGCUGGGCACAGCCUCCCUCUGAUUAAGAGGAUGAGCACCAAGCAGGCCUAGGAGCCCCAGCAAGUCCUCACUACAACUUCUCUCCACACCUCUCAAUGAACAGGCAGCUUGUCAGGAACAAGGAGACGCCGGGCAGGCAGUGGGGCAAGAUUGCAGGCAGGUACCCAGGCUGUCACCACCGCCAGACAGGGCCCGUGUCACCCCACCCUGCCUGCCAGCGCCUGCCCCUGCCGUCUACAUCUUCCCCAGCCUUUCACACACCCCACAUGGUGACAAGUGAGCACUUCCAUCAGCCAAAGAGAGUGCAAGGACUGGGUGGCUUGUGCAACUUCCCUUCAUCCUGCCCUGGAGUGGUCUGGUGCUAGAGGUGACCUGGAGUCCACCUUCCUCAUCCCGUCUUCCCAAAAUCAGUGAUGCCCUCAAGAGAUUUGUGGCAGGCGGACCCGGAGAGUCGCAGGGGCCUCCUAAAUGGCCUGUGAGACAAACUGAGCUUUGGCUGGUACUUUGGGAAUCAUAGAAAAUGAGCAACAGAGGCCUGCUCAGGUGCAGAAAUUGACCAGGCUCUUUGAGUCAAAUCACCCUGGCGCUCCUUGGACCAAUUAACCACACACCUGCUCCUCCCUGCAGAGAUUCUAGGCACCAGCAGAGAUUCUAGGAGGGCCUCACGAUUCCACUCCCGCCCCAGCAUAAUCCCAUGCAUUGAGAUGUCUCACUCCAGGCCCCACAGGUAAGGCCCUUGGUGUCCUCCUGUAGGCUUGGCCUCCCUCAAUCACAGGGACCAGGCUCACUCAGCCACGCCUCCCACAAAAGCCCAAGCCUUGCAUGACUGAGUUGAUCUCCAUAACCGCUCCCUACUCGGUGAUCUCAGUUAGCCUCUCCUUGCCAGUUUUCCUGGGAAAUGCCCCACCUGUCACUGACUCCCUGUCUGUCUCAAUAGGUGAGUGGUACUGGCUUUGAGGCCUCCCACAGGUGGAGAACCCACACACACCACACACAAUUCCAUGCCUUUUCCAGACCAGAUGAUGCCUUCUACACAGACAGCCACGUGAAUUUUGCCGCUUGGAGUGGGGUAAUGUUGUAGCCCCAACUCUUGCCUGACAACCAGGAUUAAAUUAAUACUUAUGUGCAACUACUGUGUACUCGGUACCUUUGGAAAAAUGCCCCUUAUCUUCUCCUGAGAUUGGUCUAGAAGGAGACCUACUCUCCUUGGCAUAGAUUUGUGGCUUUGGCCAUAUCCAAAGAAGGCUGGGUAGAAGCCUAUGUGUCCAUCCCAGAGAGAAGUAAAUCAUCUGGGAUGCCUUAAACUCAAUGUGAGGUGGGAAGCGAGAAAGUGGACCACAUUGACAAAGGCUGAAGGGUGAAGAAUGAUAGGUGAGGCAGGUUCCAUAACUCCUAAAGGGAAGGGACUGCCUUGGUGGUCUUCCUGUUCCUCAAAAAAAUAUUUGCUGAAUGAAGGAGACACAGGAAUCAGGUUAUAUGGUGGCUCUCCUCACGUCUUCAGCACCAGAAAGACUUAUUAUGUGUCCUCUUUAGGGAUCAAUUCAACCCUCAUCACCCCUAAUGAUUGCCCCCUAAGGAAAGAAGGCCACGAAGAAGAAAGAUGCUGGGGAAAUGAGAUCAAGAAUAAAGGAUGGUGAGAGAACGCACUUGGGCCAAAUCAAGAAACAUGUUACUCCUCUCCACCUUACACCAGGAACUCUGGCCUGCUCAGCAAUAGCCAAGCAGCUCUAGGAAGCCAUCAUGUGUUUCAUAAAUUGCAAAAUUGGUACUAGAAAGAAGGAGAGAGGGAGGAAGAGAAGGAGAGUGAGAAAAAUGAUCCGCUCCCAACUACUCGCUAAGCUACAGAAGAACUCACAAAUAUAUAACCUUUCAUUUGCAAUGUGGUAGCAUCCCCCCUUGGAAAGGGGAAUAUAAAGUUAUGGAGAUGUAGAUAAACAGAAACUAAAUGCCAGCUCCCAUCCAUGACAAGGAAGAACAUAUAUCAAAUUCAUUAAUUAUGAUCCAGUUUGUGCUUGCACUGUGAAAGAUAAUCAUUUACCAUCAAAGAGAUGCCCUUCCCUUAUUAAAGCCGCUGAGACUCUCAGGAAGUGCUCAAGGGUUUGAAAUUCUGUAUUUGAAUUUCACACAUGCUCUUUACUGCUGGGACCAAAACUCAAUCAACACUUGAUAGUGCUGACACCAACAUUCAAGCCACAGGGGUCUUCACUCCUUUACAACAGACCUACAGAUUGGGUCUGGCUAAUGCAUUUGCUAAUUUGUUCUCCUCUGGAUUCGUGUGUGUGUGUGUGUGUGUGUGUGUGUGUGUGUAUGCACGCAUGUAACAUAUGCAAAAGCCUAUAUCUUUUUUCAAAUGGAGUUGAGGUAGGAGUAAAAGAACCGAGGAACAACUAACUUCAUCUCUCACAUGCCCAAGGCCUGAGAGGAACCCAGCCGCCCAGUAGUGGAAUCCAUGUCUUCGCUUUCAUCUCAAAGCCAAACCAACGUGAACAGGUUGCUUAGAGACCAGGCUCCUCUUUCAACUCUGGGCCCGAGCCUUUGGUCCAUGCCCAGACAGGGCUUGAGUUAGAAGCUGGAGCUCAGAGGUUAUUGCUCUUUCCUUCACAAGUUCUUUGGCAGUACCUUAAUUCUGAUUUGCCUUUUCCAAGCCUGUUUCUUGCUCUAGGAUUCAGGCCGAUCCAGAGAAAGUCAUUGGGUUUCCUGACUCACGACACUAAGUGUUCAAUGAAAGCAUAUUAAAUGGUAUUGAUGCCAUAGAUGGACUGCAAUGGACUGGAACAGAUGGAAUAUAGUUUAGAAAGAGCCUACUGCCAACCAAAGAGACCUUUCCUUUCCUCAAGCUUCCCACUGAAAGCGUAGAGAUUUCUACAGAGUCUAUAGCAUACUAUAGCAUACAGCACACAUAGCCUAACAUACACUAUAACAUAUAACAUAGUCUAUAGCAUAUAGCACAUGUAACAUAGCACAUACUAUAGCAUAUGAAUAGCCUAUAGCAUAUAGCAUACAUAGCCUAACAUAUAUUAGGUUGGUGCAAAAGCAAUUGCAGUUUUUGCCAUUGAAAGUAAUGGCAGAAUAUAAUAUAGCAUAUGCUAUAUUACACAUACUAUAUUGCUGUAGACCAUGCUAUAUGGUAUAGUAUAUGCUAUGCUAUGUAUGCCAAAUGCUAUCGGCCAUGCUAUAUGCCAUAGUAAUGGCAAAAACCGCAGUUACUUUUACAUCAAUCUAAUACUAUAGAAUAUAACAUAGUCUAUAGCAUGUAGCACAUGCAGCAUAGCAUAUAGUAUAGCAUAUAGCAUGGUCUAUAGCUGAUAAGGUUUGGCUGUGUCCCCACCCAAAUCUCAUCUUGAAUUGUAGUUCCCAUAAUCCCCACAUGUCAUGGGAGGGACCCAGUGGGAGGUAAUUGAAUCGUGGGGGCAGUUUCCCCCAUGCUGUUCUCAUGUUAGUGAGUAAGUUCUCAUGAGAACUGAUGGUUUUAUAAGUGUCUGGCAUUUCCCCCGCUGGCACUCAUUCUCUCCCCUGCCACCCUGUGAAGAGGUGCCUUCUACCAUGAUUGUAAGUUCCCUGAGGUCUCCCCAGGCAUGCAGAGCUGUGAGUCAAUUAAACCUCUUUCUUUUAUAAAUUACCUAGUCCCAGGCAGUUCUUUAUAGCAGCAUGAGAAUGGACUAUAGCAUAUAGCACACGUAGCAUAGCACAUACUAUAGCACACAACAUAGUAACAUAGUCUAUCACAUACACAGCCUAACAUAUACUAUAGCAUAUAACAUAGUCUAUAGCAUAUAACACAUGUAGCAUAGCCUAUACUGUAGCAUGUAGCAAGUUCUAUAGCAUAUAGCACAUGUAGCAUAGCACAUACUCUAGUAUGUAACAUAGUCUAUAACAUAGAGCAUUUAUAGCAUAGCUCAUACUACAGCAUAUAGCAUGGUCUAUAGCAUAUAGCAUGCAUAGCCUAACAUAUACUAUAGCAUAUAACAUAGCCUGUAGUAUAUAGUGUAUAUAGCAUAGCAUAUACUAUAGCAUAUAAAGCAUGGUAUAUACUGUGGCAUAUAGCAUGGUCUAUAGCAUAUAGCACACAUAGCAUAGCAUAUACUAUAGCAUAUAGCAUGGUCAAUAGCAUAUAGAAUUGUGAUAUAGCAUAGCUCAUACUAUAGCAUAUAGCUUAAUGUAUAACGUAUAGCAUAUAGCAUACAGAGCAUACUAUAUACUAUAGCAUAUAACAUAGUCUACAGCAUAUAGUGAUAAGGUUUGGCUGUGUCCCCACCCAAAUCUCACCUUGAAUUGUAAUAAUCUCCACAUGUCAAGAGUGGGGCCAGGUAGAGAUAAUUGAAUCAUGGGAGUGGUUUCCCCCAUAUUAUUCUCAUGGUAGUGAAUAUGUCUUACAAGAUCUGAUGGUUUUAUAAAUGGGAGUUCCCUUGCACAAGCUCUCUUGCCUGCCUCCCUGUAAGAUGUGACUUUGCUCCUCAUUUGCCUUCUGCCAUGAUUGUGAGACCUCCCCAGCCAUGUAGAACUGUGAGUCCAUUAAACCUCUUUCCAUUAAUAAAUUACCCAGUUUCAGGUAUGUCUUUAUUAGCAGCAUUAGAACAGAUUAUUACAUAGAGCAUAUAUAGCAUAGCACAUACUAUAGCAUAUAAA
rnacentral:lncRNA from 10 species